UACGUAGGGGGCAAGCGUUGUCCGGAAUCAUUGGGCGUAAAGAGCGUGUAGGCGGCUCGAUAAGUCUGCUGUGAAAGUCCAGGGCUCAACCCUGGAAGGCCGGUGGAAACUGUCGGGCUAGAGUCCGGAAGAGGCGAGUGGAAUUCCCGGUGUAGCGGUGAAAUGCGCAGAUAUCGGGAGGAACACCAAUGGCGAAAGCAGCUCUCUGGGACGGUACUGACGCUGAGACGCGAAAGCGUGGGGAGCGAACAGG
rnacentral:rRNA from 1 species